rnacentral:rRNA from 1 species
UGGGGAGUAGAGCAACAGGGAUUGCCUCAGUAACGGCGAGUGAAGCGGCAAAAGCUCAAAUUUUAAAGCUGACAUCUUCGGUGUCCGCGUUGUAAUUUUGUGAGGCAUCUCCGGGUAGGGCGCCGGCCUAAGUUCCUUGGAACAGGACGUCACAGAGGGUGAGAAUCCCGUGCUUGGCUGGCUGUCCCCGUCCAUGUGAGGUGUCUUCGACGAGUCGAGUUGUUUGGGAAUGCAGCUCAAAAUGGGUGGUAAAUUUCAUCUAAAGCUAAAUAUUGGUGGGAGACCGAUAGCGCACAAGUAGAGUGAUCGAAAGAUGAAAAGCACUUUGAAAAUAGAGUUAAAAAGUACGUGAAAUUGUUGAAAGGGAAGCGCUUGAGACCAGACUUCGGUAAGGGGUGAUCAGCCGUCCUUUUGGGCGGUGCACUUGCCCCCCUCCGGGCCAGCAUCGGUUGAGGCGGCGGGAUAAAGGUCCCGGGAAUGUGGCUCCUUCACGGGAGUGUUAUAGCCCGGGUGAAUGCCGCCAGCUUCGACCGAGGACCGCACCCGCAAGGGUUAGGAUGCUUGGCAUAAUGGUCUUCAGCGACCCGUCUUGAAACACGGACCAAGGAGUCUAACAUCUAUGCGAGUGUUUGGGUGUCAAACCCUUGCGCGAAAUGAAAGUGAACGGAGGUGGGAACCCGCAAGGGCGCACCAUCGACCGGUCCCGAAGUCUUCUGAAGGAUCUGAGUAGGAGCAUAGCUGUUGGGACCCGAAAGAUGGUGAACUAUGCCUGAAUAGGGUGAAGCCAGAGGAAACUCUGGUGGAGGCUCGCAGCGGUUCUGACGUGCAAAUCGAUCGUCAAAUUUGGGUAUAGGGGCGAAAGACUAAUCGACCAUCCUAAUUGC